AGAGUUGGAGUGGACCUCUUGUUGAAGAACUUCUCCAGGCACUAUGAACCAUCUGACUAAUGCUGUCAUGAAACGCCAUGAAAAGGCAACUGCUGGACACCUGGGACAGGCCAUCAAUUCCAAGUUGGCGUCAAUUCCCUGUUAGAGUUUAGAGUCGUCUAAUAGAGAUGUUGAAGGAAGAACAUCCAAACCCUGCCCCUGCUUCCUUCAAGAUUUUUUAUGGAUUUAUAUAAUGGUGUUUUUUCGUAAAGUAAAGACAGUGGCAAAAUUAGCAUGACACUACUGGUUUGGAUGUUCUUCUUUCACCCUCUCUAUUAGACAACUCAUUGUUUUUUUUUUUUGUUUUGUUUUUUUUAACACAGACUUUAUUUCAUUAAUUUUAAAAAAAAAACUUCUCUUCAAGAAUUACUUUUCAGGUUUUAGCAUCAUCCUUUAGUAUUCAUAAUAGCAAUUUCAGUAAAGUUGCUGGUUUGAUUUAUGUUUUAAUUGUGCAGUUUAUGUGCACUCUGUUCUUUUAUCAAUGUCAAUAAAAUUCUUAUUUUUCUAUA